UGAGGAAUAUUGGUCAAUGGGCGGAAGCCUGAACCAGCCAUCCCGCGUGCAGGAAGACGGCCCUAUGGGUUGUAAACUGCUUUUUCAGUGGGCGAAACCCUCGUACGCGUACGGGAUUGACGGUACACUGGGAAUAAGCAUCGGCUAACUCCGUGCCAGCAGCCGCGGUAAUACGGAGGAUGCGAGCGUUAUCCGGAUUUAUUGGGUUUAAAGGGUGCGUAGGCGGAUGGAUAAGUCAGUGGUGAAAUUCUGCAGCUUAACUGUAGACUUGCCGUUGAUACUGUUUAUCUUGAGUAUGGUCAAGGCAGGCGGAAUGUGUAAUGUAGCGGUGAAAUGCUUAGAUAUUACACAGAACACCGAUUGCGAAGGCAGCUUGCUGGGCCAUUACUGACGCUGAUGCACGAAAGCGUGGGGAGCGAACAGG
rnacentral:rRNA from 1 species